rnacentral:rRNA from 1 species
UACGUAGGGGGCAAGCGUUGUCCGGAAUCAUUGGGCGUAAAGCGCGCGUAGGUGGCAGGCCAAGUCUGUGGUGAAAGCGCCCGGCUCAACUGGGCAUGGUCCAUGGAAACUGGUCAGCUGGAGGACGGUAGAGGCGAGUGGAAUUCCCGGUGUAGUGGUGAAAUGCGUAGAGAUCGGGAGGAACACCAGUGGCGAAGGCGGCUCGCUGGGCCGGUCCUGACACUGAGGCGCGAAGGCGUGGGGAGCGAACGGG